rnacentral:rRNA from 1 species
UGAGGAAUAUUGGUCAAUGGACGCAAGUCUGAACCAGCCAAGUAGCGUGCAGGAUGACGGCCCUAUGGGUUGUAAACUGCUUUUAUAUGGGGAUAAAGUGGGGAACGUGUUCCCUUUUGGAGGUACCAUAUGAAUAAGGACCGGCUAAUUCCGUGCCAGCAGCCGCGGUAAUACGGAAGGUUCGGGCGUUAUCCGGAUUUAUUGGGUUUAAAGGGAGCGUAGGCCGUUUGGUAAGCGUGUUGUGAAAUGUAGGAGCUCAACUUCUAGAUUGCAGCGCGAACUGUCAGACUUGAGUGCGCACAACGUAGGCGGAAUUCAUGGUGUAGCGGUGAAAUGCUUAGAUAUCAUGAAGAACUCCGAUUGCGAAGGCAGCUUAAGGGAGCGCAACUGAAGCUGAAGAUCGAAGGUGCGGGUAUCGAACAGG